UACGGGGGGGGCAAGCGUUGUUCGGAAUUACUGGGCGUAAAGGGCGCGUAGGCGGUUCGAUAAGUCAGCUGUGAAAACCAUGGGCUUAACUCAUGGCCUGCAGUUGAGACUGUCGGGCUGGAGUGUGGGAGAGGAGAGUGGAAUUCCUGGUGUAGCGGUGAAAUGCGUAGAUAUCAGGAGGAACACCGGUGGCGAAGGCGGCUCUCUGGGACCACAACUGACGCUGGAGGCGCGAAAGCUAGGGGAGCAAACAGG
rnacentral:rRNA from 1 species